UGUUAGCCAUUCCCUGCAGGAGAA
rnacentral:misc_RNA from 1 species